UGAGGAAUAUUGGUCAAUGGGCGCAAGCCUGAACCAGCCAUGCCGCGUGCAGGAAGACGGCCUUAUGGGUUGUAAACUGCUUUUACAUAAGACUAACCGUAUAUUUGCGAAUAUACCUGAAUGUAUUAUGAGAAUAAGGAUCGGCUAACUCCGUGCCAGCAGCCGCGGUAAUACGGAGGAUCCGAGCGUUAUCCGGAUUUAUUGGGUUUAAAGGGUGCGUAGGCUGACUGAUAAGUCAGCGGUGAAAAGCAUAGGCUUAACCUAUGUCUUGCCGUUGAUACUGUCAGACUAGAAUAUAAAUGGAGUAGGCGGAAUGAAUCAUGUAGAGGUGACAUUCAUAGAUAUGAUUUAGAACACCGUUCGCGAAGGCGGCUUACUAAGAUAUAAUUGACGCUGAUGCACGAAAGCGUGGGUAUCGAACA
rnacentral:rRNA from 1 species